ensembl:lncRNA
GAUACAGUAUGGAAAGAGGGCUUAAUGAUAAAGCUAUAUGAUGCAGGGGUAAGAGGUAGGAUGUUAAAUUGGAUUAAAGAUUUUCUGAAGGAGCGUACCAUUCAGGUGAGAGUAGACGGAUCUAUGUCCAGUAAGGAAAAUGUGGAAAAUGGAACCCCUCAGGGAAGUGUUAUUAGCCCAGUGUUAUUUAAUGUAAUGAUUAACGAUAUUUUUAGUAAGUUAAAUAGAGGUUUUGGAAUGGCAUUAUUUGCUGACGAUGCAGCUGUUUGGAAAAGAGGGCGGAACUUGAAUUAUAUUUAUAAACAAGUACAACAAGCAAUUAAUAAAGUAGAGGCAUGGGCAGAUGAAUGGGGUUUUAGAAUUUCAGUAUCAAAAUCAAAAUAUGUUGUGUUUGGUCUAAAAAGGAAACUUUUAGAUAAGACUUUAAGUAUUUAUAAUAGUCCUAUAGAAAAAGUUAAAUCAUUUAAGUUUUUAGGAGUUUGGUUUGAGGAAAGAAUGACUUGGAAAGAGCACAUAAAUAAUACAGUGAAAAAGUGUGAGAGGGUUAUUAAUACCUUAAGAUGUUUAGUUGGAAUGGAUUGGGGUGCAAGUAGAGAGUGUUUAAUGAUGAUUUUUAGGGGAAUAAUUAGAGCUAAUAUUGAUUAUGGCUGCAUGGUAUAUAGAUCAGCAUCAGAAUCUGUUUUAAAGAAAUUGGAUGUAGUUCAAGCAAAAGCAUUGAGAAUUUGUGGAGGAGCAAUGAGAUCUACUCCACUUAAUGCUUUGUUAAUUGAAAUGGGGGAGACUACAUUAGAGCUCCGACGGAAUAAAUUAUUUCUGUUUUAUUGGACAAAGCUACGAAGUCAUAAUUGUUCUAACCCGGCUAGGAUUUUAUUAGAGGAACACUGGGAACUCCAGAAAAGGGAUGGAAAUAAAAAAGAGUGUGGGAAGACGUCAAUAGGUAAGGAAGCUCAGGAUAUAGUAGUGAAUGAUAUCAUGAUCGCACCAGUAAUUAUUUGGCCUCCAGUACCUCCAUGGUUACUGCCAGUCCCUAAUGUGGACCUAAGUAUUUUAGAUCAAAUAAAGAAAUAUGAAGGUAAUCCUGUGGAUAUGGUGUAUAAUCAUUUAAAGAAAAUCUGGCCCGAGUAUGUGCAGAUAUUUACGGAUGGAUCAAUGAAUUUAAGAAGUAGGAAAACCGCAAUAGGAGUAAGUAUUCCUCAGCUGAAGUUAAUGAAUGGAAAGCGGUUAACAGAUAGUAUGUCAGCCAUUACUGCAGAGCUGGUGGCUAUUUUAUUGGCCUUGGAGUGGGUGGAGGAAAAUGGACCAGGGAAAAGAAUAAUUUGUUCAGACUCAAGUGCUGCUUUAAUGGCAUUAAAGGGAAGGAAAAGUGAAGCCAGGUCAGAUUUAGUUGUAGAAGUCUUAGUAACACUUAAUAGAGUUAAUAAAAUGGGGAGUACAGUUGGAUUUAUUUGGGUACCUGCUCACAUUGGUGUUCAGGGAAAUGAAGAGGCAGAUGAAAUGGCAAGAAGUGCAGUAAAUAAAAGUGAAGUAGAGUUGGAGGUUAUGUUCGGUAGGGUAGAAUGUAAAAGUAUUAUCCAAGAAAGAACAAUGAAAUUAUGGCAAAAAGAAUGGAAUGAGGGAUAUAAAGGCAGACAUUAUUAUUCUGUUCAGCCAACAGUAGGACGUAACCUAAAUACAACAUUAGAAAGGAAAGAGAGUGUCAUUCUAACUAGAUUAAGGUUGGGCCAUUGUGCACUAAACUUUGGGUUAGCAAGGGUUGGAAAACAUCCAGAUGGCAGAUGUAGAUGUGGACAAGAAGAAACGGUGAAUCAUGUAAUAAUGGAGUGCUCCAACCAUCCUACAGCAAGAUGUCACAUGAUUUCAGAGUUAUUAGAAUGUGGAGUCUCUAAUAUAUCUGUUCAGACUAUUCUUAACCCAAAGGACUAUGAGUCUACAAAGAUUUUUAUGAAGUUUUU